rnacentral:rRNA from 1 species
ACGGAAGGCAGCAGUGGGGAAUAUUGGACAAUGGGCGAAAGCCUGAUGCAGCAACGCCGCGUGAGUGAUGAAGGUCUUCGGAUUGUAAAACUCUGAUCUAAGGGAAGAAACAAAUGACGGUACCUUAGGAGAAAGCCCCGGCUAACUACGUGCCAGCAGCCGCGGUAAUACGUAGGGGGCAAGCGUUAUCCGGAAUUAUUGGGUGUAAAGAGUGCGUAGGUGGUUACCUAAGCGCAAGGUUUAAUCUUGAGGCUUAACCUCAUUCUGCCUUGCGAACUGGGCUACUUGAGUGCAGGGGGGGAAAGCGGAAUUCCUAGUGUAGCGGUGAAAUGCGUAGAUAUUAGGAAGAACACCGGUGGCGAAGGCGGCUUUCUGGACUGUAACUGACAGUGAGGCACGAAAGCGUGGGGAGCAAACAGGAUUAGAUACCCUGGUA